AGUGAACGCUGGCGGUAGGCCUAACACAUGCAAGUCGAACGGCAGCACAGUAAGAGCUUGCUCUUACGGGUGGCGAGUGGCGGACGGGUGAGGAAUACAUCGGAAUCUACUUUUUCGUGGGGGAUAACGUAGGGAAACUUACGCUAAUACCGCAUACGACCUACGGGUGAAAGCAGGGGAUCUUCGGACCUUGCGCGAUUGAAUGAGCCGAUGUCGGAUUAGCUAGUUGGCGGGGUAAAGGCCCACCAAGGCGACGAUCCGUAGCUGGUCUGAGAGGAUGAUCCGCCACAGGGGAAGUGAGACACGGUCCAGACUCCUACGGGAGGCAGGAGUGGGGACUAUUGGACAAGGGGCGCAAGCCUGAUCCAGCCACACCGCGUGGGUGAAGAAGGCCUGCGUGUUGUAAAGCCCUUUUGUUGGGAAAGAAAAGCAGCAGGUUAAUACCCCGCUGUUCUGACGGUACCCAAAGAAUAAGCACCGGCUAACUUCGU
rnacentral:rRNA from 1 species